rnacentral:lncRNA from 1 species
AAGGGUUCUAGAAGAUUAUAAAAGUUUUUAUUAAAUGAUUUAUCACGGUUUUUUUUUUUUUUUUGUCGGCAAAGAAACAAGAGAGGGUUCAAUCGAGCCAACUCAAAGGACAAUUGUUUACAAACUUGAUAAGAUGCAGACUAGCACGCGCUCGGCGAGCCAAAAAGUCCGCUUUUACAUUUAGAUUUCUAGAAAUAAGAGAUAGAGAAAAAGAUGAAAAUUCCUCCCUGUCUAUAUUGAUAUCUUCUAGGUAGAUAGAGAACGCCAGCCACUCGUGUGGAGAAGACACCAUCUUCACCAAAUCCGAACAGUCAGUUACAAACACAACGUCCCUGAAAUUAUGGCCUAUCAUUUAUCACGGUUAUAAGGAGUUUAAAGGGAUUUACAAGUGUUUGUAAAUGUUAUAAAAUGAUUAACAAUGAUUUUAAAAGGUUUACUCAAGUUUUGAAAGGUUUUGGAUGACUUUUAAAAGAUUUACAAGGUUU